AGAGCACUGAAUGUCCUAGGGGGUAUUGCACCUACCGAAGACUAUCAAACUCCGAAUGCCGUCAUCUUAUACUUGGGAGUCAGACUGUGGGGGAUAAGAUUCAUAGUCGAAAGGGCAACAGCCCAGAUCGUCAGCUAAGGUCCCUAAAUGUAAGUUAAGGGGUAAAGGAUGUGGGAUUGCACAGACAACCAGGAUGUUGGCUUAGAAGCAGCCACUCAUUCAAAGAGUGCGUAAUAGCUC
rnacentral:rRNA from 1 species